rnacentral:ribozyme from 12 species
CCACAAAAAAAUUGCCAGUGAAAAAGAAAAAAGCAAGAAAGAAAAAUUAAAUCAACUUUUGAAGGUCUUCUUGGUAUUUUUUUUUUGCUGCUGCUUCCAGAACUGGGUCAACUUUUCCAGAUAUGGGAUCAGUUCCAAGAGGCCUCUUAAA